CCUACGGGGGGCAGCAGUAGGGAAUUUUGCGCAAUGGGCGAAAGCCUGACGCAGCAACGCCGCGUGAUGGAGACGGCCUUCGGGGUGUAAAGAUCGGUUAGUGGGGAGGAAAAUUGACGGUACCUACAGAGGAAGCACCGGCUAACUCCGUGCCAGCAGCCGCGGUAAUACGGGGGGUGCAAGCGUUGUCCGGAAUCAUUGGGCGUAAAGAGGUCGUAGGCGGCACGUCAAGUCUGGUGUUAAAGGCAGAGGCUCAACUUCGGUACGGCAGUGGAUACUUGCGGGCUAGAGUGCGCUAGAGGUAAGGGGAAUUCCUGGUGUAGCGGUGAAAUGCUUAGAUAUCAGGAGGAACACCGGUGGCGUAGGCGCUUUACUGGACCGUAAUUGACGCUGAGGAACGAAAGCCAGGGUAGCAAAUAGGAUUAGAUACCCUAGUAGUC
rnacentral:rRNA from 1 species